CAGGCAAGUGGAACAGCAUCUCUCACAGUAAAACAGACUGUAAAGAGUCUAUCCAAUAUGUCUGGCUCUCCUCACAUUCUAAGGAAAGACCUCAGAGAACUUCCAGCUGCCUCUUCCAGAAAGAUGAGUGCAAAACAGAAAUCUGGAGACUUCUGUGAGCCAACAAGUUCCCUGUCUAUCUGAGAAUCAGCCUGGUCACCAAGGAGAUCAAGGGAAGAGAACCAAGCAAAGCCACUUGGGACCUGUUCCCAGAGUCUUAUCUCUUGAGUGAGCAUAAAGGCAGCCCAGUCAUUGGGCAUUGGCAGUUUUGGACCACCUUAAUCCUGAAAGCGCAACACCUGUCUUGGGAAUCACCUGUGAUGCCAGGUAGAUGGAUAAGAAAGCCAAUUGGAAUCAUCUACUAGAAGACAAGAUACUUUACCCAAAUCACUAUAUUUCACUCUACAGAAAAAUGCAAACUGAAUCACAAAGAA